UGGUGGCGAUAGCGAGAAGGAUACACCUGUUCCCAUGCCGAACACAGAAGUUAAGCUUCUUAGCGCCGAUUGUAGUGAAGGGU
rnacentral:rRNA from 1 species